rnacentral:RNase_P_RNA from 1 species
CCAGUCGGUCGGGCAGCCGCACCGGUCACGCGAAAGCAAUCCGGUGAGGAAAGUCCGGGCUCCAUGAAAGCACGGUGCCGGGUAACGCCCGGCGGAGGCGACUCUAGGGAAAGUGCCACAGAAAGCAAACCGCCCGACAUCGCGUCGGGUAAGGGUGAAAGGGUGAGGUAAGAGCUCACCGCGUCUUCAGCAAUGCGGACGGCAUGGUAAACCCCACCGGGAGCAAAACCGAAUAGGAAUGGCGCGGGCGCAAGUCCAGCCGGCUUUCAGGCCAGUCAUUCGGGUGGGUUGCUAGAGGCAUUCAGCAAUGGAUGCCCCAGAUGAAUGGUUGCCGCGUGUGGCCCUCGGGCCGCGCCGUACAAAACCCGGCUUACAGACCGACUGGUUCU